CUAGCGACUUCAGAGUUUGAUCCUGGCUCAGGACGAACGCUGGCGGCGUGCCUAAUACAUGCAAGUCGAGCGGACCGAACGAGGGCUUGCUCUUGUUUGGUCAGCGGCGGACGGGUGAGUAACACGUGGGCAACCUGCCCGCAAGACCGGGAUAACUCCGGGAAACCGGAGCUAAUACCGGAUAACACCGAAGACCGCAUGGUCUUCGGUUGAAAGGCGGCCUUUGGGCUGUCACUUGCGGAUGGGCCCGCGGCGCAUUAGCUAGUUGGUGAGGUAACGGCUCACCAAGGCGACGAUGCGUAGCCGGCCUGAGAGGGUGACCGGCCACACUGGGACUGAGACACGGCCCAG
rnacentral:rRNA from 1 species